rnacentral:rRNA from 1 species
UCGGGAAUUUUGGGCAAUGGGGGAAACCCUGACCCAGCAACGCCGCGUGAAGGAUGAAGUAUUUCGGUAUGUAAACUUCGAAAGAAUAGGAAGAAUAAAUGACGGUACUAUUUAUAAGGUCCGGCUAACUACGUGCCAGCAGCCGCGGUAAUACGUAGGGACCAAGCGUUGUUCGGAUUUACUGGGCGUAAAGGGCGCGUAGGCGGCAAUUCAAGUCAUCUGUGAAAUCUCCGGGCUUAACUCGGAACGGUCAGAUGAUACUGCUUUGCUAGAGUGCAGAAGGGGCAAUCGGAAUUCUUGGUGUAGCGGUGAAAUGCGUAGAUAUCAAGAGGAACACCUGAGGUGAAGACGGGUUGCUGGGCUGACACUGACGCUGAGGCGCGAAAGCCAGGGGAGCAAACGGGAUUAGAUACCCCUGUAGUCCCUGAGCGGGCUGGCAAGGCGCAU